AGAAUAAUGGAGACAAAGAGAAUAUUAUAUUCAACUCUUGUUGUUGUCCUGUUGAACAUGAGUCUUGUUGUAACAAGUAAAGAACAAGCUGACAGUGUACAGCUUAGGCUUAAUAAUCCUGAAUUAGAUCUUCUCUUGUCCCUGAUUCAAUUAGAAAUUGACAACAAACCUGAAAUGCCAGGGUCAAGUGACGAGAUUCUACCACAAAAGAAAUGGAGUCGACCUCAACACAGAAUAUCUCGUCAAUACUUGCUUCAACUUCUAAGAUCCCGAGGCUACCAUGUUAGACUGAAUGGGAAACGAGAUAAUUAACAAUUAUUUGUGUAGUUUUUGUAAAUAUUUUUUUUAUUGUUUAUGUAAUACAUCACUUUUAUAGAAUGUUUUUUUUAAAGAUUGCCACAAUAUCGAAGGGAACAUUUCAUCUGAUUUUUUACUCUAUUUUACGACUCUUUUUUUGUUAAAACGACCAAUGUCAUGAGUGCACGAAGACAAGUUGAUAUUCAACUUAUGUUUAUUUAAAAUUAUUAAAGGAAAUGAAAACGUU